GUUUAUUCAUUUUGUUUAUUCAUUUUUUUUGUUGAUGGACACCUAAGUUGGUAUCAUAACUUGGCUAUUGCCAAUUGCACUGUCAUAAACAUGGGUAUGUAUGUAUCACUAUAGUGUUCUGACUUCAGUGCUUUUGAAUAAAUACCUAGGAAUGAUAUAGCUGGGAAAAGUGCCAAUUCCAUACUUAGUAUUUUGAGAACCUCCACACUGAUUUCCACUGUGACUGUACUAAUUUACAAUCCAUUUUGUGACUUUCUAGACUUCAGUAAGAAGUUUUUAGUUUUAUUCUCUACAAAAAAUCUGGGUGUUUAGCAUUCAUAUGGUCUCACAUCCUUGAGGAAUGUGAUGAUUAUAUCAGCCUUGUUUCCCAUUGUAUGAAAAAAAAAAAAAAAACCUGUUGGAAAAAAUUGGAUUUUGAACAUAUUCAAUAUGUUGACUUCUGGUGAUCACAAUAAUGGUAAUAAAAAGUGAGAUUUUCAAAUGCCUUCUGAGUCAAUAAAGAUUUUAAUUACAUAUAUAUGCAUAUAUAUUAAUCAAAAUGAUAUGAAAAUUUAAAAUUUAGAGCUGAUAUUUAAUGUGUACAUGUCCAUGUGUAAUGCACUUGACUAUUUGUGUUAAACUGUCACAUCUUUAAUAUUUCACAUUUGUGGAUUGUCAUAAAUUUUGUGAAAUUAGAAGGGAAAGCAUUACAUCUGUUCAGUUUUAUGAAAUCUAAAAAUAAAAUACAAUGAUGGUGUAAUAUCUAAAAUCGCACAUUUAAUGAGAAGCAAAGCUCAGACUCAUAGUUGAAGUUCUUCAGAUAUUAAACCCUGCUCUUUACAAACUAUAUGAUAUUCCUUCUUUGAGAAUACUAGAAGAAAAUUUUGAACAAACAUUUUCAUUUAAGCCCUUGCCAAGUUUAUAUAGAAUCUUCUUUGAUUUAAAUACCC
rnacentral:lncRNA from 1 species